GAAGUAUACAGGUCUUACAGAUUCCUAUUUAUCAGUAAUAAAGGCUCUUCUGCAUGCAUCUGUUGCUUGCUUUAAGAAACUUGUUGUGGAUUGGGUUCCAGNNUGAGGAUGAAAUGGAAAAAGAGAAUCCUGAUGCUUAUAAGGUUGCAUGGAAAUUGUUAAAGGGUGCAGAUGGCAUUCUUGUUCCAGGAGGAUUUGGU
rnacentral:misc_RNA from 1 species